rnacentral:pre_miRNA from 1 species
GCUUAACUCCCUCCGUUCGGAAUUACUUGUCGCGAAAAUGGAUGUAUCUAGAACUAAAAUACGUCUAGAUACAUCCAUUUCCGAGACAAGUAAUUCCGAGCGGAGGGAGUAUAUA